rnacentral:tRNA from 1 species
GCCCGAGUGGUGGAAUUGGUAGACACGUUGGACUUAAAAUCCAAUGGACAGCAAUGUCCGUGCCGGUUCGAGUCCGGCCUCGGGUACAA